GAUGAACGCUGGCGGCGUGCCUAAUACAUGCAAGUCGAGCGAACGGACGAGAAGCUUGCUUCUCUGAUGUUAGCGGCGGACGGGUGAGUAACACGUGGAUAACCUACCUAUAAGACUGGGAUAACUUCGGGAAACCGGAGCUAAUACCGGAUGAUAUUGUGAACCGCAUGGUUCAAAAGUGAAAGACGGUCUUGCUGUCACUUAUAGAUGGAUCCGCGCUGCAUUAGCUAGUUGGUAAGGUAACGGCUUACCAAGGCAACGAUGCAUAGCCGACCUGAGAGGGUGAUCGCCACAACUGGAACUGAGACCCGGUCCAGACUCCUACGGGAGGCAGCAGUAGGAAAUUUUCCGCAAUGGGCGAAAGCCUGCCGGAGCAACGCCGCGUGAGUGAUGAAGGUCUUCGGAUCGUAAAACUCUGUUAUUAUGGAAGAACAUAUGUGUAAGUAACUGUGCACAUCUUGACGGUACCUAAUCAGAAAGCCACGGCUAACUACGUG
rnacentral:rRNA from 1 species